rnacentral:rRNA from 1 species
AUUGAACGCUGGCGGCAUGCCUUACACAUGCAAGUCGAACGGCAGCACGGGGGCAACCCUGGUGGCGAGUGGCGAACGGGUGAGUAAUACAUCGGAACGUGCCCCGUAGCGGGGGACAACCAGUCGAAAGACUGGCUAAUACCGCAUACGCUCCACGGAGGAAAGCAGGGGAUCGCAAGACCUUGCACUAUGGGAGCGGCCGAUGCCCGAUUAGCUAGUUGGUGAGGUAAAGGCUCACCAAGGCACGAUCGGUAGCUGGUCUGAGAGGACGACCAGCCACACUGGGACUGAGACACGG